rnacentral:rRNA from 1 species
AUUGAACGCUGGCGGCAUGCCUUACACAUGCAAGUCAAACGGCAGCACGGGUGCUUGCCCCUGGUGGCGAGUGGCGAACGGGUGAGUAAUACAUCGGAACAUGUCCUGUAGUGGGGGAUAGCCCGGCGAAAGCCGGAUUAAUACCGCAUACGAUCUACGGAUGACAGCGGGGGACCUUCGGGCCUCGCGCUAUAGGGUUGGCCGAUGGCUGAUUAGCUAGUUGGUGGGGUAAAGGCCUACCAAGGCGACGAUCAGUAGCUGGUCUGAGAGGACGACCAGCCACACUGGGACUGAGACACGGCCCAGACUCCUACGGGAGGCAGCAGUGGGGAAUUUUGGACAAUGGGCGAAAGCCUGAUCCAGCAAUGCCGCGUGUGUGAAGAAGGCCUUCGGGUUGUAAAGCACUUUUGUCCGGAAAGAAAUCCUUGGCCCUAAUACGGUCGGGGGAUGACGGUACCGGAAGAAUAAGCACCGGCUAACUACGUG